UUAAAAAAUUGACAAAUGAUUGCUUUUAAUAAAAAAAAAAAUAUUAUGCAAAAUAUGUUGAGUUUCUUAUGAAUUACUGAAAAUAGAAUACUCUCAGUUUAAGAAAAUUAUGAAUGUUUUAAAUGUUUAAUUUUCCAACAAAAAAAGAUCAGUUAAAUUGGCCCACCUUAUGAAUGAAACUACAAAGAAGGAAACAGGAUAUAUUUUAUCCAUUCACUACACAAUAAUCAACUAAAACUCCUUCAAAAGAAAUGGAAAAUAUUAUGAUUACCAGAAGCAUUAAAAUUGAAGGUGUUUUAUAGGAUUUUUUUCUCCAAGGGCACAUGCCAAACAACUGCUAAAGACUCUUUGUGAAUUUUCACCACAUAGAGAUUGGUGGAGAAUUAAACAUCAACAUAAGGAAGGUACCUACCUACCUACCUACUAAAGAGUUCUCGAUGGUGUUGGUAUAUAAUGUUGGUGCUGCUGGUAGUGUUUGUUUGGUUGAUGCUACCAAACGACCUCCCGCAUACAGAAGCCCACCGCAUGGAAAGUGUUUUAUGCUGUAAAAGAAGAAGAAAAAUUCCGAUCAAUUUAUAGUCCAUUUUUGGGGAACAAUGACGAGGAGAGUCCGACAAAAAGGAGCAGAUUUUGAAGCUGUGUGUGUGUGUGGUAGAGGUGGCCCAACAAGGGCAUUUCGACCUCCAACGUUAAAAUUAAUUGGAAAAGAAGGAGCCCAGUAGUGAGGAUCCUUUUCUGCAAAAUGUUCUGACACCCACUCUCAAGGAUGAUUUCUGGAUUGCUUUACAAUUUUAAUAUAUUUCACCUUUUCGGCCAUUUCAGCGGCUCUUGUGAGGCACAGCGUGAAAUAGCCUAUGAAUAGUUUUCGGCAAAUAUUGAUCGGAGCCCCGCGUGGUGCCCACAGCAAACAGGAAGGACACCCUGGUCAUUGAGACGGUGUCUCUGUGCAAAAAUUCCAUCUUGUGUGUAUGCGUUUGGAGAUCUCCCAUGUGGUGCGUGGGUGCAUCGUGUGACACCCCCGACUCGUCUACCUACGUGGUUGGCAUUAUUGGAGAAUAAGGGGAACUGGGAGAAUGGAAGGACAUGAAAAUGUUUAAUCAUUGGAUCCAAUGCUCCGCCCGAUUUUCGGGCGGUUCUCCCAUUUGUCCUCGCCUCCGAUACUGCGCACAUGUUACCCGGCAAAUGCUAAAACGUGGUGAGAAUAUCUACUUUACGAUAAGAAUUCCCCAUUGAUAAAUUCUUAUUCAUAUUUUCCACAUUACGAAUACAUUUCAAGCAUCUUUCAACAUUCAUCACGUGUUUUUUUGAUAUAUAGACGCAACAUUUUAUGUAUGUUGUACAUAAUGUACGAUAUAUAAAAAUUAGUGGGGUGCCAAAAGCACAAUGUACAUAAUCGGUUACAAGAAAACUAAAUAUAGAAAAAAGCUCAAUUUGAAGAAAUGUGGCCCAGUCCCAAGUUAUUCUUCUCCACAUAGAUCAAUCAAGUUCUAAUCGUUCUAAUUAAGUUUAUCUUGUUAUUUUGUAAACAUUAAAUGAUGUAUGUAGGUGCUGAAACUUAAUCAGUCUAAAUCUAAGAUUUAUUUAUUUAUAUAUGUAGCUAUAUAAGAAGCUUUUCUAAGCUCUUUUAAUAUAUAUGAGGAAUAUCAGGUUACAUAGCAGAAAUUUCGUAUUGGAAUCACGGUUUUGGUAUAUUUAUCUCAUUAAUCUACAUCUGCUGGAAUAAAUUAGUGAAGUUUCCUAACGAGGUAUCGUUUCUAGGACAACUUUUCUAUAGGUAGACAAUUUAUCGCUGGCUACGUAAUUUACUAUUCUAAAUUAAAUUAGCAUAAAAAAGUAUUAAAACAAUUUAAAAGUUUAAAGGAUUAUAGCUCUGAAAAGGCUUCAGAAAAAGGAAAAGCUCUACUUUUGCAUUAAAAUUGAGAUCAAAAGAAUUAAAAUAAAUUAUCUCAAGAAUUUUGCAAGAGAAAAACAUUUCAUAACAUUUUCAAAUACCUGGUAUAUGAACCUGAAAUUCAUUGAGAUGUUUCAGCUUGCUCAAGGAUAUGUUAUGUAGCUUUUUCUUUGAGGUAAAAUACAUGAAUUGCUUUUUAUGGAACUUGCAUAGAAUAAAAGACAAAUAUUACCGUAUCGCAUCAAAGGUGGUGGUAUUUUGUGUGAGUCAAAGGACACACUGUGUAGUGAAUGGACAAAAGGAUACCAUCUCCUCCGAAGGUUCCCACAUUGUGCUCCAGAGGGGUCCCUUUUGUGUUCAUGACAUCAAAAUCUGGGAGAAUGACUGAGCACAGAUCUGGCGCCAAAUGGGCGAGAGUUCUGAAAGAUGUCUCUCUCUGUGCGGAAGAAAAAAAAAGUUGACCAAAGGUGAAUAAGAGAAGAAAAAAAAUUAAUACCCUUUGAAUUGAACGAGUCCCGACAUUCCAAUAUUAUUUUCUAUGAAUUUAUCCUUAUGUCUUUCACACUUUGAGUGGCAAAAGAAAUAGCACUUUGGCGAUUUCCUUCAAAUGUCCAGCUGAGAGGUGUUCAUCCUUUGUUCUCUAUGGUUCUCCUUUUCCUUAUACGCAUAAAAUCUACGGCCAAAACAUAAUUUUUUUUCUCGUCAAACUUCAUCCGUGAAGAAUUUUCUUUUUUUUCUUACCUUUUGCCCUAAAGAAUCCGACAAUGUAAUAUGGGGGUCCUGUUCGUCAUGUUCAUUCAUACAUUAUUUUUAGGAGCGAGGUGGAAACUAUCAUUUAGGCAUGGCCAUGCAAGGCAUCCCAUUCACACAGGCUGAAAGAAAAAUUUUUAUUUGUAAAUAUUGUGGUGCUCUCGGAGAUUUCAACAGCACGUGUUUCAAAACGACAAUAAAAAGCAAAUGACGAUCAUUAUAAGUCAUCGUGUGGGGUUAUAUGAUUAUUGCCAUCUUCACAGAUCCACCGGAAUAAAGCGCCAAUUUCAUACUGCAGCAUCUGAUAGCAUUUAUGAUGCGCGGUGCCUCCACUUGCCAUCGCGGCAGUGUGGUCAGGCACACAUUUCUUGGGACAUAAUUAAUUGUCGAUCCUAAAAUUGUUUGGGUUCUUGUUUUACAAAAUACUCAACAAGUUUUUUGCUCACCGCACCACCGAGAGCUCACUCUUCUGCCCAAAGUUGAGAAUUUAUUUUUAUUGGCGUUGAUUGAAUGCCAAAAGAGAGUCCCGAAUUGUCCGACACACACAGGAGGGUUUUUCUUCAUCUUAUGGGCUGUGCUGGGUGCGCUAAGGUCUCUCUGCUGAUCAAAUAGUGAUUGAGACAUUAAAUGUAUGUAUGCUCCUCCAGACGUUAUAUAUAUACUCACUGGUAUGCGCGCACAUACAUACAUAUAAUUUCUUUUUAUUGCUCAUCAUAUAUCAUUGGUUCACCCAGGAGUUAUAAAAAGAUACUUUCACAGAGCGAUGGUCGAUGGGACCAAGAAGCAGCUCUUUCGUGCAGUUAUGUCAUCUGAUUGAGAGAUACAAUCUCUGCCCAUGGGACGAUUGUUACCUUUUGUAGGAUGAUGCAGGAGAGCUCUGGGUGAAGAGAAUAGAAUAUUGUGUAUAGUAGAUGAAAGUAUGGUAUCUGGGUGCAAGGAAAAAUGGAUAAUUUACUCGAGUAUCUCGCAACAUAAAGUGGUCAAUUUGUAUGCAACGAGCGGCGUUCUCUGUGAUGCCCCUUUGCCACUUGGUGGGUGUUUUUUGAGGUGCUGAGAUGAAGACAUCGAGUGACUACUUGAGCUUCCACUUGAGGGGUUGCACUUGUUGGACCAUAAAAAUUUUAAUUUUGAUUUCACACAACUAAAGAAAAAGAAUAUGGAGUGUUGUACCUCCGUGUGGUCAGUUUAAUCACUUCAACUUGGGCGACGUUGUACACGUUCACCACCAUCAGUUCUUUCUUCAGAUCUUUCUGAUUCUUUGGCAUUCAGACAUGCUCGAAAUUGAUUCUUUGUUCGUAUUUUGUGGUGCAAAAAUCACUGAAAAUCAUUCAAGGGGAAUAUUUCAACAGGAAAUUACCACCUAGGGCGAUAAAAAUUUAAAAAUUGUUGCCAAACAUAUGGAUUAUUUGUCCUUGGGGCAUUCUAUGAGCAUCUUAGAGAGGAAGAGAAUAUUUAAUAAUUAAUUUUAUUCUACAAACUUAUAAAAGAUUCAAUUUAAUAAAAUAAUUUUCAAUAGAAAAAUUAAUAAAUUAAUGAUAAAAAUAUAGAUUUGCUAUAUAUGUAUGUGGAUACAUAUAGAAAAUAUUUUGCUACCUGCAUCACUUGAGCAGAUGAAAAAAGAAAUUUCAUAAUAGAUUUAUCUCCUGUGCAUAGCAUCAUGUCCUCGUAUAUAUUCCAUUUUAGGUUUAACUUGUGGGCAAAUUACAUCGAGGAAGAGAGAUACCACACACAGCCCAUCAUCCGUAAAAGGAGCAUCAGCAUCAGUUCCUGCCACACCGGGAGAAAUUUAAUCCAUUUGAUUGAAAAAAGCGAAAACCUAAUCCAUAAUCCAAUUGUGCUCUUCGAUAAAAGACCUAAUGAGGCAUAUGCGGAAUCCUUCUCGAGGGCUUGUGAUCUGUGGAACAUACAAGGAUCGCAUAUAGAGUGUUGAAUGGAAUUACAUGCAAUAUUUGACCAGUGCAAUUGAGAACAUGAAUGAAACCAGAGAGAGAGAGAGAGAGCUACAUAACAUACAUAUAAUGUCUUCAUACAAGGUCCGUGAUCGACUAGACUCAUUCACAGUCUCCAAAGCAAUUUUCGUACGUCUGGAAUCUCUUUCAUCUCCAUCCUCUUUGGCCUUCACAUUCGCCAAAGGGAAUACCUGAGUUUUUGUUAAUUAUACAGUCGAAAAUUGAAAUAACAUACAUAUAUGUAUGUAUGCUCAACUAUUGCGGGGGAUUUUAUGUAUUAAACGAAAGGUGAGCUUCUUUUUUAUCAGAGAUUUAUUCAAAAUAACUUCUGGUCCAUUUUGUAAACCCCUGACAAAAAAAUCUCAUGUGUGGAGUCUUUUUUGGGGCAAUUGUUGGGACAUUGAUCGCGAGACAUUGAGCAGGAAUGCACAGAGUUAAGAAAAAAGGAACAUCAUAAAGGUGGAAAAGGGAGCGUUAACGAGAUCCUCGGAAUAGUGCCUCUGCACGUUCCACUGAUCUACGGACAAGAUUUUUUGAUAGGGGCUUAACACUAUUUUUUGGGGGCCUUCUCUCUUUUGCCGUUUCCCUUUUCCACAUUGUUUAAUACCCCCCAUUUAACAAUAUUUCACUCUCUUUUAUUUUUUAUUCUUGCUUUUCACUCUUGCUUCUUCGUAGGGUCUUCGUAUAAGGUUUUAGCGGAUAACACAGUUGCGAUGCUUCAGAUUAAAAUGAAGAAGAAUUUUUAAAUUUGAUUAAACAACAGAGUACUGAAUGAAUUUUAGGUAUAGAUUUAAAAAAAAACUGAAAAUUAUUCUUGGAAAAUUUAGAGGAAAAUUAUAAAUAUUCCGAAUAUUUCUGUAUAAAUCGAAUAUUUAUAUUUAUUAUCUGAAAAACUCUUUAUAUAUUUUUUUUUAAAUCAUAAACUCAUUUAAAACUAAUUAUUAUGACGAUAAAUAACUAUUAAAGUAAAUCAUAAAGAAUCAUUUUCUAAUUAAGAGCAACUGUACCACCUCAUCUUGUAGAAUUCUGGAGGCGAAUCUCCACGGUUUUCUUAUGGUGUUAACUACGGCGGCGGGCGUUUUAAAGGUAAGUAGCAGCUUCUUUUCUCAAAUUUAAUUUUGGGGCUCCUCUCUCUGGUGAACCAUCGAAGGGCCUCGUUAACAAGGCGCUGGCGCUAUCUUCGCAUCGUAUUCAUACCAAUAGUCUGGAAUUUACAUCGUUUCCGGCGUUUACUAGUUUCCCAUCAUAUCUUCACAAAACUUUUCAUCUCACCAUGAUCAUGAAUUUUUGGCAAACGAAGAAGACAACAAAAAAAAAACAAGACAAAGCCACUCACUUCUCGGCAUGGAAACACACCGAAAAGUUUUGAUCUCACUUCUUAAAUGUUGAGAGCCUUUUUUCGCUAAUUGUUGUGUGCGGCGGUGUGCAAAAAAAAAAGUAGUUGAGAAUGAACUUGGUCAAGAUGACUAUAACACUGGAAAUUGGAUGGUUGAAGAGCCAUGGAGAAGGAAAAAAAAUGAGGCCCUCCUCCAAUUCUUUGGUGUGUCAAAUAAUUUAUAGAGUCUGAGAGAGUUUUCAAUAAAUUACAUCAUCGGACUCCAAUUUAUUUAUUUAAACGUUUCGUAUAAAAAUCCUAAAUGUUUCGUCGGGUUUUCUGUGGUGUGUGUGCUUUUGGGGGUCUUUUUUUAUGUUGUGUGCUCUACGUGCCGCUCUAACCUGAGAACAUCGCACGGUUUUUGAUUUGAAUACAAAAUGGAAUUUUGUAGCAACAACCCGAAAACAUGCAUUUGCGGUUUCAUCCGUUUGAUCAAGGGGGCAGAUAUUCACUUCCCGCGCAAAACGAUUCACGGGCUAAUAUUCCUCUUGUUCCCUCCGGGGCGUGGGUUAGCAUGGGGCAAAAUGGGGGAUAUUGUGUCCCUAUUUGAGACAAAACAACAAUCAUGACAAAGAGACCGUUUGAUGCUGGGGUAUGUUUAACAAACAAUGAUGCGUCGAUUUUUCAUCACUUUCAUGGCUCGUGGGGACUUCUUAUCUCAAAACCACCGUCUCAUCGGUUGAUGGUGUUCUUCCUUUCAUUUUUUUUGUUGUAUUUUAGCAUCUAAAGACAGGAUUAUUCUUAUGUUUAGAAGGCAUAUAUUAGUAUAUUGUGAUCCCCAUCGCCACUAAAUAGUUCAACUUGUAACCAUCCAGAAUCCCGCCUCUGUGGCCUACAUCAAUGCCGCGCGGUUUUUAUCCGAAAAGAGAUCUUAAUAGCUGUGAGAAACCGCGCUUGUUAGUUAUAAAUAAGUUAAUAACAUGGCGGGUAGUUUUUUGCCAACACUCAGAAUCACCUUUUUUCUCCCUCUCUCUCUCUCUCUCCAAUUCUGGGAUGUGAAGAGCCAACAAAAGCCUUGUGGGUAUAUGACCAUGUGAAGAGUGCGCGCGAGAGAGGAGAAGCUUCAGAAAUCAGAGCUUCCAUAUCCACAUAGUUUUUGAUCUUAAGAUUGUGAUUCAUUCAUACGAAUAUUCGCCUUGGUUUGUCUUCAGCAGCACAAUACCUGCGAGUUCUUGGGUUGUUUUUGCCGUGCUUUUUUGUUGCUUCUCUCUCAAGAAGGGGUGAGCUGCAAACUUAUUUGGUUAAUUUAUUUGAUCCUCGCGGGCUAUUAGAGAUUGUAGACUUCUGCAACCCACACAAGGUGAACAUAAUUUCGAUCGCAGCAUCUCCCAACUAAAACCCCCAAAGCCACAAAUGAGGGGUAUAUCAGUUGCAUUUUCAAGGAUUUAUAUUUCACUGCUAAAUGCUAUGCUAUGUUAUGCUACAUAUGUUUAAGAUAUGUGUUCGUGAUAAUUAAUUUUAGUCUAAUUGAAUAAAUUAAUUAAGAAAAAAAAGCUUCAAAUAUUCACAAAAAACUUAUUAUAGAAUGAUUUUAUAAAUAUUUUUUAGAAUUACACUGGAGCUUUUUCAUGAAGCUUAAUGCUGGAAGAAUAAAGUUAAAUAAAAGCUUUGAUUACACUGUCAUUGGAAAAGCCAAUCUCGAACCAUAAAAAAAACUUUCUAGUUCUUUUCUUUGACAAAUAUUUUAUCGAUUAAUAAUUAAUUAAAAUUUUAGGAUUCUAGUAAUUUAUUAAAGUAGUUUUAAGAUUUUUUUUUGAAUACAAUUAAAACAAUCAUUGCAUCUAAGAUUUUUUUUAAAUUUUUAAAUAAAUCUUUGGUUGUUUAAUUUUUCAAUAGGAAACCCCAAAUUAGAGCCAUUUGAGCUUUAUAGCGAUUCAACAUGGUAAUUUCAUUAUCUACACAUUAUGUAUGUAUGUAUACACAUUAAUAUUAUGUAUAAAAGCCAGAGGUGCUAUGGGCAAGACUAAAAAAGCACCCGCGUGGUCUAUGAGAAGAUAGUUCUGGACCUCUAUUUUCUGGCGUCUGUGAAGUCACGGUCAUUGAGAAAUUCGAGCAGACAUGGAGGUAAAACGACCUGUUGAUUUUUUCAUCUUCAAUCUAAGCAUAACACCACGUUUCAGCGGCUAUAAAUCAUACAUUUGCUGGGUUAAGAAAUUGGAUUUUGUGCAAAGUACACGGCGCCUCCAUCUCAAAUAAAUUUUGCCGAUUUUUGAGGAAUGUGGUCGGCUGUCUUUUCCUCUUUUUUUGCGACAUCCUAUCGGGUGUCUCGUUUUUUAAUCUUGCGUGUGCUCCUCACUUUUCGCCAAAAAUUUGAGUGAAGAGUGGCGGUGAUGCAAGAGAGUGGAGGCUAAAUAUUUUGGUUGGGUCUGAUGCGCGGUCCCAUUCUCAAUUCCACACGCUGAAUUUUAAUUUUGACGCGGCAUCUCCUCGGUGGCUCUUUUGGUGGCAAUAGAGCGAUUAACUAAUCCUGCCGGGGGUACAUCAAUAUUAAAAUAUCACAAUACUUUGACUCUCAUUCGGCAUUUGAUAUCCGAUACCAUGCCGCCUUGGCGAUAUAUAUUCACCUUUUCGGACGAUGUGUGUUAAUUAACGCGUUGCGACCAACAUACGGGGACGCGAUGGGCGACUGAAUCCGAUUUGGCGGCAGUCAACUUCUUGGGCGGCAGCGUGUCUUUCGCGAAAUGCCUUCAAUGCUUAACUUACAUUCAGGGGUUCCGCGGGAAGACGCACGCGGGGGGGGAGGGUGGUUGGCUGCAACAGCACGAGAUGGUUAAGUAUAACUUUGCAAUGUUUCCAACAAUUGCGAGCAUAUAUAUGCUACAUUAUGUACAAAACGUAGUGUAUGAAAUGAAGAAAUAUGAAUUGUGCGGGGCAUCCAAAAUUGAAAAAUCUCUCACACUUAGCGAAGCGCCGCGGGUCCUUCACACAAACGAAAGUCCCAAUGGGAGGCACAGUCAAAAGGCACAUCAUGAGAGAUCCGAGAGUUGCACGGUGCAAUGGCCAUUGACUGACCCAUGCAAAAGGUGAGGCUUAUGCACACUAAUUAGGUCUUGGAGCAAGGACGUGGUGUAAUUAGUGUAAUUGGACCUUCAUUCCUUCUGUCUCAUUUCCAUUCGGAUAUAUUUAUUUGCUCUCUGGUAUCCGUUUUAUCUUGAUGUAUUUGCCAGACGAAUUGAGUUACGGGCUGCUGUAGUUGCUGCUUUUGAAUUAUAUCGAUUGAAAUAAUUGUUGUUGCUGCGGAUCAGUAAUGAUCGUGACUUGCAUGCGCAGAUCUUAUAAUAUGCGAAUAUACAACAUUUAUACUCAUCCGUAUAAUAACUAAAGGAAUAUGCCGAUUAGGGUGAGGGCAUAUGGUGGUUGGUACAGGCAUAGUAAGUAGCACGUUCAUUGUUUUCCAUCCCAAUCAUCAUUCGCUAGUUUGUAGUGUGAUUCACGAUCCGAAUGCCGAUAGAUGAGACAAAUUUCAUCCUUCCUUCUCGGCACGAUCGUUUAGGGCAUUUAACUCUCAAUUUCACUUUGGGAAAACGGGCAUGCUUUUCUUCACCUUACUCGUAUAAACAUUGGGGCUUGCUCCAUCAACGUGCAAUGCAAGGUUCGCCAAGGCAAGGCUUCCCUUUCAUUCACUCAGCAUAAAUAAAUAUUAUGUUGACUUUCCAAUGAUUCAUUUAAGAGUUUUUUCUUUAAUAAAAUUUUCCCCAUUUGUCUUAACAUCUCUGAAUUUUUAAUCUAAAAAACAUAUAAAAGUUUCCAUUUGAGCUUUUGAAGAAAAAAAGCUCACCCGUGAAAUUCAUUGAGCUCCAUGAAACAGAAGUAUGGCGCCGAAUCCUUGUAUGCAAAACUUCUUUACUCCUCCUCUUGCAUUGUUAAAGAAAUGGCCAAAGUAGCAGAAGUGAUGGCGGAUGUUAUCAAUCAAGUGGUAAAUAGAUUUUUUUCUUAAAAAAAAAGACGCAUUAUUUUACUUCAACACAUAUAGCGAAAAGGGCACAAAAAGAGAAGAAAGAAAAGAAACUUAUGAAUGGAACGAGUUUGCACAUGAUCACAAAAGGCUAGAAUGACUCUCCUGUUUAGGAAAAUUUUUGUAUAUCACCUUUGGAAGCUGUGGAAGAAGUGCAAAAAAAAUUGGUUACAAAAUGUUCAUUCUCCAUCGCAACUUCUUACCUAUACAACAUAAUACAGCAUUUUUUUCCACUGAUAAACAUUUUUUUUUGGCAAAAUGUCCAUAACUUUGCAUUUUUUUGACCUUCUAUACUUAAGCAUCCUACCCAAGUCCUGAGUUGAGCCUUUUUUUCCUUCUUCUUCGUCAGGAGGCACAAAAACCCACCACCUUCGGAGAUGUGCGUUGUUGUGCACAAAAUGUGUGAAGUCGGCAAUUUUGUAAAGUGCCAUCGACAGAUGAAGAAGAAUUAAAAUGGUAUUAUACCAUUUUGAGGCAGAGGAAAAUAAUGAAAAUGUUGGCGACAGCGUGUCUGGACCAUUGUUCAAAGAGACCAAUAGACUCCACAUUUGAGACCCUUUUGUCGAUGCUGGGAGUCCCUUAAAAGAAAAUCCUGCUUGACUCUAGUUGUCACGCCGCAUUUCUCAAGGUGCAUAAGGCACACCACACCAUUUGUGCCAUUAUUGAGUGGCAAUCAACUCAGUUAUUCUUCUCACACGACGAACACACACAUGGGUAAGAAAAGGAUCCAUUGAGGAAAAAAAGGACUCCCUUGAGAUGAUCAUCAGUUAUUGAUUAUGACAAUUAUAUAGGUACACAAUACAGAGAUGAAUUGGAAGCUACAUUUUAUUUAAUUUUAAGAAGCAUGAAAAAGUUAUUAAUUUAAUUGCUAUGAAUUUUAUUUAAAUACUUUUAAAAUUAUGAUGUAUUAAAUUGAACACAUUAAAGACAUUGU